rnacentral:rRNA from 1 species
ACGUUAUGGUGGGCACUCUAAGGAGACUGCCGGUGACGACCGAGGAAGUGGGGAUGACGUCAAGUCAUCAUGGCCCUUACGGCCUGGGCUACACACGUGCUACAAUGGUCGGUACAAAGGGUUGCCAAGCCGCGAGGUGGAGCUAAUCCCAUAAAACCGAUCGUAGUCCGGAUCGCAGUCUGCAACUCGACUGCGUGAAGUCGGAAUCGCUAGUAAUCGUGAAUCAGAAUGUCACGGUGAAUACGUUCCCGGGCCUU